rnacentral:rRNA from 1 species
AACGAACGCUGGCGGCAUGCCUAACACAUGCAAGUCGAACGAGCCCUUCGGGGUUAGUGGCGCACGGGUGCGUAACGCGUGGGAAUCUGCCCUUGGGUUCGGAAUAACAGUGAGAAAUUACUGCUAAUACCGGAUGAUGUCUUCGGACCAAAGAUUUAUCGCCCUAGGAUGAGCCCGCGUAGGAUUAGCUAGUUGGGGGUGUAAUGGCCUACCAAGGCGACGAUCCUUAGCUGGUCUGAGAGGAUGAUCAGCCACACUGGGACUGAGACACGGCCCAGACUCCUACGGGAGGCAGCAGUGGGGAAUAUUGGACGAUGGGCGCAAGCCUGAUCCAGCCAUGCCGCGUGAGUGAUGAAGGCCUUAGGGUUGUAAAGCUCUUUUACCCGAGAUGAUAAUGACAGUACCGGGUGAAUAAGCACCGGCUAACUCCGUG